AUUGUGUUGUUUAAGUGUUCCCUUUAUUUUGUUUGAGCAGUGUAUAUUUAUUUUGUAUUUUUUAACUUCCAGGGCUGAGAAAGAAUGUUGGGAACAAGUCUGCUUGCUCCCCGGCAGUUUAGACCACCACUUCCUUAUGACUCAUCCCUUGACGGCUACGUUCCCAUGGAAAGGGAGCUGAGCCUGACAUAUUUUACACUCCCACAUCUGCUCUUGAGGUUUGCGAUUUGUCCAUCAACCAACAGGAAGAUUAACCCCAACCUGCCCACUGUGUGAAGGUACAAAAAUACCUGAAGUACUAUGAAUGGCUGUACAACUGGAGGGAGCAUUGGCCACUCAGUUAUAGAGGCUGUCUUCUCACCAGAGGAAAUAACAGCAACGUGUCAUCAAGGACAAGAUACAGCAGAGGACGAAGGCCUUCAAUCCUCAUCAGCUCUUCAACCUCCUGACACCAAGGCUGGAGACCUUUUAUGAGACGCUGGAAAUCAUCGCAACUUCUAAAUUCAGUAUUUAAUGGAUCUUAACAGCUGUUAUUAGUUGGCAUGCUACAGGUUUUUCACAGAGGAAUAUAUGCAUGCACGCCACUUUAAAAGCAAAUAUAUUGCAGCUUGUAUUACUUAUGUUUUGUGUAUAUUGGGGAAAAGAAGUUUGUGGUGAAGGGAUCCACGCAAACCUUUGCGGUGGACAUGGAGUUGGAGCUGUGUUUGUGCCCUGCAGGACAAACUUGGGCGCCAUGCAAACUCCAGGCAGCAGUGUCUGUCCAGCACUUUCCUUCCAACAAGUCCAGAGAUGACAGCAGAACUGCUCAAGCAAUUAAAGCCAAUAUUUUCACAGUAACUGGUAUAGUAAGACUUCCAAUAUUUCCAGUUUAAAUUACACAAUAAAGGUUAGCCAAAGCCAGAGAAUUUGGUGGCUAGUACAAGUCAUUUAAUUGUUUAUUUGGGCCACCAAUGCUGUGAUUUUAGUGGCCACACUGUAGAAUUUAGUGGUCAACCACUGGUCCAUGGUUAAUGUUGAUCCCUCUUGAGCCCUAUCUUGCACCCGGCGCAGAACUACGGCAAGCACGACGCAAGUGUCAUUGUUAGUUUCCAGUUGAUGCAGUUGUCAUUUCCACUCCCAGCACCCACGUUGUGGA